AGUCAUACCAAUCAUAUAAUUGCUAAGCGGUUGACACUUUUGCAAAUUCUUUCUCUGGGGGAAACUCUAAUAACCCGCCUUUCUUCUGCACUGUUCAACUGCCUGGUGAUUCGCCUGUUUCGUUUGUUAUGCCCCCUGAUAACUAACGCGGCUUCUCCUCUAAAAAGAGAAUCCGCCAAGAAACUGCAUUGAUAGCAUGUCAGCGCUUGUAUCUUGCUGGUGCCACGAGCGCUCGAUGAGCAUCUGCUGCCAACGUCCAUGCAGAUCCUUAAAAACAGCGACCUCAUGAAAUCAGCCCCCUUGAUGCCCA